rnacentral:rRNA from 1 species
UACGUAGGGAGCAAGCGUUGUCCGGAUUUAUUGGGCGUAAAGAGCGCGUAGGCGGCUCGGUAAGCCGGAUGUGAAACCUCCAAGCUCAACUUGGAGCGGCCAUUCGGAACUGCUGUGGCUAGAGUCUGGUAGGGGAACACGGAACUCCUGGUGUAGCGGUGAAAUGCUUAGAUAUCAGGAGGAACACCGAUGGCGAAGGCAGGUCUCUGGGCCACUACUGACGCUGAGAAGCGAAAGCAUGGGGAGCGAACAGG